UGGGGUGUCGCCAAGCGGUAAGGCAGUGGUUUUUGGUACCACCAUACGAGGGUUCGAAUCCUUCCACCCCAG
rnacentral:tRNA from 1 species